GGGUUGUGAGGUUAAGCGACUAAGCGUACACGGUGGAUGCCCUGGCAGUCAGAGGCGAUGAAGGACGUGCUAAUCUGCGAAAAGCGCCGGCGAGGUGAUAUGAACCUUUGACCCGGCGAUGUCCGAAUGGGGAAACCCAGUGCAAUUCGUUGCACUAUCGUUAACUGAAUACAUAGGUUAACGAGGCGAACCGGGGGAACUGAAACAUCUAAGUACCCCGAGGAAAAGAAAUCAACCGAGAUUCCCCAGUAGCGGCGAGCGAACGGGGAGCAGCCCAGAGUCUGAAUCAGCUUGUGUGUUAGUGGAAGCGUCUGGAAAGUCGCACGGUACAGGGUGACAGUCCCGUACACGAAAGCACACAGGCUGUGAACUCGAAGAGUAGGGCGGGACACGUGGUAUCCUGUCUGAAUAUGGGGGGACCAUCCUCCAAGGCUAAAUACUCCUGACUGACCGAUAGUGAACCAGUACCGUGAGGGAAAGGCGAAAAGAACCCCGGCGAGGGGAGUGAAAAAGAACCUGAAACCGUGUACGUACAAGCAGUGGGAGCACCUUCGUGGUGUGACUGCGUACCUUUUGUAUAAUGGGUCAGCGACUUAUAUUCUGUAGCAAGGUUAACCGUAUAGGGGAGCCGAAGGGAAACCGAGUCUUAACUGGGCGUUAAGUUGCAGGGUAUAGACCCGAAACCCGGUGAUCUAGCCAUGGGCAGGUUGAAGGUUGGGUAACACUAACUGGAGGACCGAACCGACUAAUGUUGAAAAAUUAGCGGAUGACUUGUGGCUGGGGGUGAAAGGCCAAUCAAACCGGGAGAUAGCUGGUUCUCCCCGAAAGCUAUUUAGGUAGCGCCUCGUGAAUUCAUCUUCGGGGUAGAGCACUGUUUCGGCUAGGGGGCCAUCCCGGCUUACCAACCCGAUGCAAACUACGAAUACCGAAGAAUGUUAUCACGGGAGACACACGGCGGGUGCUAACGUCCGUCGUGAAGAGGGAAACAACCCAGACCGCCAGCUAAGGUCCCAAAGUCAUGGUUAAGUGGGAAACGAUGUGGGAAGGCACAGACAGCCAGGAUGUUGGCUUAGAAGCAGCCAUCAUUUAAAGAAAGCGUAAUAGCUCACUGGUCGAGUCGGCCUGCGCGGAAGAUGUAACGGGGCUAAACCAUGCACCGAAGCUGCGGCAGCGACGCUUAUGCGUUGUUGGGUAGGGGAGCGUUCUGUAAGCCGUUGAAGGUGUGCUGUGAGGCAUGCUGGAGGUAUCAGAAGUGCGAAUGCUGACAUAAGUAACGAUAAAGCGGGUGAAAAGCCCGCUCGCCGGAAGACCAAGGGUUCCUGUCCAACGUUAAUCGGGGCAGGGUGAGUCGACCCCUAAGGCGAGGCCGAAAGGCGUAGUCGAUGGGAAACAGGUUAAUAUUCCUGUACUUGGUGUUACUGCGGAGGGGGGACGGAGAAGGCUAUGUUAGCCGGGCGACGGUUGUCCCGGUUUAAGCAUGUAGGCGGAGGUUCCAGGUAAAUCCGGUACCUUUUAACGCUGAGGUGUGAUGACGAGGCACUACGGUGCUGAAGUAACAAAUGCCCUGCUUCCAGGAAAAGCCUCUAAGCAUCAGGUAACACGAAAUCGUACCCCAAACCGACACAGGUGGUCAGGUAGAGAAUACCAAGGCGCUUGAGAGAACUCGGGUGAAGGAACUAGGCAAAAUGGUGCCGUAACUUCGGGAGAAGGCACGCUGAUAUGUAGGUGAAGCCCCUGCGGGUGGAGCUGAAAUCAGUCGAAGAUACCAGCUGGCUGCAACUGUUUAUUAAAAACACAGCACUGUGCAAACACGAAAGUGGACGUAUACGGUGUGACGCCUGCCCGGUGCCGGAAGGUUAAUUGAUGGGGUUAGCGGCAACGCGAAGCUCUUGAUCGAAGCCCCGGUAAACGGCGGCCGUAACUAUAACGGUCCUAAGGUAGCGAAAUUCCUUGUCGGGUAAGUUCCGACCUGCACGAAUGGCGUAAUGAUGGCCAGGCUGUCUCCACCCGAGACUCAGUGAAAUUGAACUCGCUGUGAAGAUGCAGUGUACCCGCGGCAAGACGGAAAGACCCCGUGAACCUUUACUAUAGCUUGACACUGAACACUGGUCCUUGAUGUGUAGGAUAGGUGGGAGGCUUUGAAGCGUGGACGCCAGUCUGCGUGGAGCCGUCCUUGAAAUACCACCCUUUAAUGGCUGGUGUUCUAACGUAGACCCGUAAUCCGGGUUGCGGACAGUGUCUGGUGGGUAGUUUGACUGGGGCGGUCUCCUCCCAAAGAGUAACGGAGGAGCACGAAGGUUAGCUAAUCCUGGUCGGACAUCAGGAGGUUAGUGCAAUGGCAUAAGCUAGCUUGACUGCGAGAGUGACGGCUCGAGCAGGUGCGAAAGCAGGUCAUAGUGAUCCGGUGGUUCUGAAUGGAAGGGCCAUCGCUCAACGGAUAAAAGGUACUCCGGGAUAACAGGCUGAUACCGCCCAAGAGUUCAUAUCGACGGCGGUGUUUGGCACCUCGAUGUCGGCUCAUCACAUCCUGGGGCUGAAGUAGGUCCCAAGGGUAUGGCUGUUCGCCAUUUAAAGUGGUACGCGAGCUGGGUUUAGAACGUCGUGAGACAGUUCGGUCCCUAUCUGCCGUGGGCGCUGGAGAAUUGAGGGGGGCUGCUCCUAGUACGAGAGGACCGGAGUGGACGCAUCACUGGUGUUCGGGUUGUCAUGCCAAUGGCACUGCCCGGUAGCUAAAUGCGGAAAAGAUAAGUGCUGAAAGCAUCUAAGCACGAAACUUGCCCCGAGAUGAGUUCUCCCUGACCCUUUAAGGGUCCUGAAGGAACGUUGAAGACGACGACGUUGAUAGGUCGGGUGUGUAAGCGCAGCGAUGCGUUGAGCUAACCGAUACUAAUGAACCGUGAGGCUUAACCUUACAACGCCGAAGCUGUU
rnacentral:rRNA from 1 species